UACAGAGGGGGCAAGCGUUGUUCGGAAUUACUGGGCGUAAAGGGCGCGUAGGCGGCCCUCUAAGUCAGACGUGAAAUCCCUCGGCUCAACCGGGGAACUGCGUCUGAGACUGGAAGGCUUGAAUUCGGGAGAGGGAUGUGGAAUUCCAGGUGUAGCGGUGAAAUGCGUAGAUAUCUGGAGGAACACCGGUGGCGAAGGCGGCAUCCUGGACCGACAUUGACGCUGAGGAGCGAAAGCUAGGGGAGCAAACGGG
rnacentral:rRNA from 1 species